AGUGAACGCUGGCGGUAGGCCUAACACAUGCAAGUCGAACGGCAGCACAGUAAGAGCUUGCUCUUACGGGUGGCGAGUGGCGGACGGGUGAGGAAUACAUCGGAAUCUACUUUUUCGUGGGGGAUAACGUAGGGAAACUUACGCUAAUACCGCAUACGACCUACGGGUGAAAGCAGGGGAUCUUCGGACCUUGCGCGAUUGAAUGAGCCGAUGUCGGAUUAGCUAGUUGGCGGGGUAAAGGCCCACCAAGGCGACGAUCCGUAACUGGUCUGAGAGGAUGAUCAGCCACACUGGAACUGAGGCACGGUCCAGACUCCUACGGGAGGCAGCAGUGGGGAAUAUUGGACAAUGGGCGCAAGCCUGAUCCAGCCAUACCGCGUGAGUGAAGAAGGCCUUCGGGUUGUAAAGCCCUUUUGUUGGGAAAGAAAAGCAGCAGGUUAAUACCCCGCUGUUCUGACGGUACCCAAAGAAUAAGCACCGGCUAACUUCGUG
rnacentral:rRNA from 1 species